rnacentral:rRNA from 1 species
AUUGAACGCUGGCGGCAUGCCUUACACAUGCAAGUCGAACGGUAACGCGCCUUCUUUUGCCGACGAGCGGCGGACGGGUGCGUAAUACAUCCGAACGUACCCGAUCCUUGGGGAUAACGUAGCUCAAGCUUAGCUAAUACCGCAUACGAUCUACGGAUGAGAUCCGGGGGCCGCAAUGGCUUGCGCCGACGGUGCGGCCUCUGGCAGAUUAGUUAGUUGGUGGGAUAAAAGCUUACCAAGCCCACGAUUUGUAGCUGAUCUGAGAGGAUGAUCAGCCACACUGGAACUGAGACACGGCCCAGACUCCUACGGGAGGCAGCAGUGGGGAAUUUUGGGCAAUGGGCGCAAGCCUGAUCCAGCCAUGCCGCGUGCAGGAUGAAGGCCUUCGGGUUGUAAACUGCUUUUGUAAGGAAAGAAAAGCCUUCUUUUAAUACAGGAGGGUCAUGACGGUACCGUAAGAAUAAGCACCGGCUAACUACGUG